UAAAAAAAAUAAUUCUACGCUAAAAAAAGAUUUAUGCUAAAAAGCUUCACAGCACAAUUUUUACUUUUUUUUGUAGCGUCGAAAAAUUUUUCAGGGGUUGAAGAAAAAAUUUCAGCGGCAAAAAAAAAUUGAACGCUAAAAAAAAUUUAA
rnacentral:rRNA from 16 species